GGCUUGGAAGCAGCCAUUCAUUUAAAGAGUGCGUAACAGCUCACUAGUCGAGGAGUUUGGCGUGGAUAAUAAUCGGGUAUUAAGCUGUUUACCGAAGCAGUGGGAUCAUAUAAUGAUCGGUAGGGGAGCAUUCCACUCUGCGUCGAAGGUGGGGCGUGAGUCCUGCUGGAGCGUGUGGAAAAGCAAAUGUAGGUAUAAGUAACGAUAAAGGGGGUGAGAAACCCCCUCGCCGCAAGACUCAGGUUUCCUGAUCAACGCUAAUCGGAUCAGGGUCAGUCGGGUCCUAAGGCUCAGCCGAACGGCGAGGCCGAUGGCAGAACCGGUUAAUAUUCCGGUACUACCCUUUGGGGUGACGUGGAGACGCAGUCGUGACAAUGCCGCCAGCUGACGGAAUAGCUGGUUAAAGGGUGUAGAAGUUGAUUGUGGCAGGCAAAUCCACCACAAGAUUCGAACCUGACAGUAUGGAGCGUCCUUCCGGACAAUCCAACAGUGCAUGUAAUCAUACUGCCAAGAAAAUCCGCUAAACAUAACCUUCAGGGUACCCGUACCGCAAACGGACACACGUAGUCGGGUUGAAUAUACUAAGGCGCUUGAGUGAUUCACGGUUAAGGAACUAGGCAAAUUAACCCUGUAACUUCGGGAAAAAGGGUCCCUACCCGUUAUCGGGAGGGCGCAGAGAAUCGGUCCAGGCAACUGUUUAACAAAAACACAGGGCUGUGCGAAGUCGAAAGACGCUGUAUACAGCCUGACACCUGCCCGGUGCUGGAAGGUUAAGAGGAGAUGUCAUCGCAAGAGAAGCAUUGAAUUGAAGCCCCAGUAAACGGCGGCCGUAACUAUAACGGUCCUAAGGUAGCGAAAUUCCUUGUCGGGUAAGUUCCGACCUGCACGAAUGGUGUAAUGAUCUGGACGCUGUCUCAACCGUGAGCUCAGUGAAAUUGUAGUAUCGGUGAAGAUGCCGAUUACCCGCGAUGGGACGAAAAGACCCCGUGAACCUUUACUAUAGCUUAUCAUUGAAUUUGGGCACGUGAUGUGUAGGAUAGGUCGGAGGCUUUGAAGCAGGCACGCCAGUGUUUGUGGACGGCGUCGGUGCCGUCGUAAAUGGCGUUAGCAACGUCGGCAACCUCGGCGCGCGUCGGGCGCGGGUUCUGCUGCAUGGAGUCGAGCAUCUGCGUAGCGGUGAUGACGGGCUUGUAGGCCGCGUUGCACUUGGCGAUGAUCUCCUUCUGGAUGUGGGGAACGAGCUCGGGCUUGAUCUCGAUGCCCAGGUCGCCACGGGCGACCAUGAUGCCGUCGGAAGCCUCGAGGAUCUCGUCGAAGUUCUCGACGCCAAGGGCGCACUCGAUCUUCGGGAAGAUCGUCACGUGCUCGCCACCGUUCUCGCGGCAAAGCUUGCGGAUGCCACGGACGGACUCGCCGUCACGGAUGAAGGAAGCGGCGAUGUAGUCGAUGUUCUCGGUCAGGCCAAAGAGGAUGUCCUGACGAUCGCGCUCGGUGAUGGCGGGCAGCGAGAUGUUGACGUUGGGCAUGUUGACGCCCUUGCGCUCGCCGAUCAGGCCGUCAUUCUUGACGAC
rnacentral:rRNA from 1 species